rnacentral:rRNA from 1 species
GACGAACGCUGGCGGCGUGCCUAAUACACGCUAGUCGAGCGAAGCGGCGGAUGGGUGAGUAACGCGUGGGUAACCUGCCCUUAAGUCUGGGAUACCAUUUGGAAACAGAUGCUAAUACCGGAUACUAAAGGAUGGACCUGCGAUGCAUUAGCUAGUUGGUAAGGUAACGGCUUACCAAGGCGAUGAUGCAUAUGUUAGUUGAGUGACUGAUCGGCCAGAUGGGGACGGAGACACGGCCCAAACGCCGACGGGAGGCAGCAGUAGGGAAUCUUCCAGAAUGGAGGAAAGUCUGAUGGAGCCACGCGGCGGGAGUGAAGAAGGUUUUCGGAUCGUAAAGCUCUGUUGUUGGUGAAGCGGUAAUCAACCAGAAAGUCACGGCUAACUACGUGCCAGCAGCCGCGGUAAUUC